UACGUAGGGUGCAAGCGUUGUCCGGAAUUAUUGGGCGUAAAGAGCUCGUAGGCGGUUUGUCGCGUCUGCUGUGAAAACUCGGGGCUCAACUCCGAGCUUGCAGUGGGUACGGGCAGACUAGAGUGCGGUAGGGGAGACUGGAAUUCCUGGUGUAGCGGUGGAAUGCGCAGAUAUCAGGAGGAACACCGAUGGCGAAGGCAGGUCUCUGGGCUGACACUGACGCUCAUGCACGAAAGCGUGGGGAGCAAACAGG
rnacentral:rRNA from 1 species